rnacentral:rRNA from 1 species
GAUGAACGCUGGCGGCGUGCCUAAUACAUGCAAGUCGAGCGAACGGACGAGAAGCUUGCUUCUCUGAUGUUAGCGGCGGACGGGUGAGUAACACGUGGAUAACCUACCUAUAAGACUGGGAUAACUUCGGGAAACCGGAGCUAAUACCGGAUGAUAUUUUGAACCGCAUGGUUCAAAAGUGAAAGACGGUCUUGCUGUCACUUAUAGAUGGAUCCGCGCUGCAUUAGCUAGUUGGUAAGGUAACGGCUUACCAAGGCAACGAUGCAUAGCCGACCUGAGAGGGUGAUCGGCCACACUGGAACUGAGACACGGUCCAGACUCCUACGGGAGGCAGCAGUCGGGAACCGUCCGCAAAGGGCGAAAGCCUGACGGAGCAACGGCGCGUGAGUGAUGAAGGUCUUCGGAUCGUAAAACUCUGUUAUUAGGGAAGAACAUAUGUGUAAGUAACUGUGCACAUCUUGACGGUACCUAAUCAGAAAGCCACGGCUAACUACGUG